AGCCAUGUGUUAAGCACAAAGCGAACUAUUCUUUCGCCUUUUACUAAAGAAUACCGUGUGCUUGUCACUCACAAUGGCAUACGCUUAUUUUUGAAGGGUUUUUCUUUUCUGAAAGACC